GCCAGCAUGGUGCAAUGGUUUGAGUGCUUGACUAGGACGCUGGAGACCAGGGUUCGAUUCUCAGCUUCGGCC